GAUGAACGCUGGCGGCGUGCCUAAUACAUGCAAGUCGAGCGAACAGACGAGGAGCUUGCUCCUCUGACGUUAGCGGCGGACGGGUGAGUAACACGUGGAUAACCUACCUAUAAGACUGGGAUAACUUCGGGAAACCGGAGCUAAUACCGGAUAAUAUAUUGAACCGCAUGGUUCAAUAGUGAAAGACGGUUUUGCUGUCACUUAUAGAUGGAUCCGCGCCGCAUUAGCUAGUUGGUAAGGUAACGGCUUACCAAGGCAACGAUGCGUAGCCGACCUGAGAGGGUGAUCGGCCACACGGGAACUGAGACACGGUCCAGACUCCUACGGGAGGAAGCAGUAGGGAAUCGUCCGCAAUGGGCGAAAGCUUGACGGAGCAACGCCGCGUGAGUGAUGAAAGUCUUCGGAGCGUAAAACUCUGUUAUUAGGGAAGAACAAAUGUGUAAGUAACUAUGCACGUCUUGACGGUACCUAAUCAGAAAGCCACGGCUAACUACGUG
rnacentral:rRNA from 1 species